UUUGAUACGCCACAAAAAAUUUGCCUAAAAAAAAAUUUAAAAUUCAUCUAUGAUAAAAUAGUUUUUGCCAAUUAAAAUAUAAGUCUAAAAAUACACAAUCCUUUAGGAAUUUGGGUCCUUUAGCAACUUUUCUCAUUAAAUACUAAGAAAAGAGCUUAUUAUUUUCUCAUGUUUUGAAAUGGCACAAGAAACUCAAAAUUUUACAGAUUUAAGUAACAUUCUAACCAUACGCUCAUCAGCAAUAACCUUUCUAUUUUUACAAGUUAUUAUUUUUAAUACAUGCUUUGAAUCAUGUUUUGCUCAAUAUUUUUUAUAUGUGCAUGCUCCUAUUUCUUAAGAUGUCUUCAAUUUACUCUAAAUUUCCCAAACAAAGUCUUAACAUAGAUAUAAGCUAGUGUGUGCAAAUUUGAGGCAUAUUUCACAUAGUAUUUUUCAAGUUAUGAGAGUACUUAUUUCCAACCUCACUGAAGCCAAUUUACAGUAAGUUCUGUGCACCAACAGUUGCAGGCAAUCAAUGCCCAAUGCAAUCCGUAAAUCACCAUGCAGCAUAUCAAAAGUGAAAAUCACAACUUCACUGAAGUAGUCAUAUACACGGUUACCGAGUGAACCCCACAGGUUCUGGGCAGUUAUAAGAAGCACCACAUCCGUGACUGUAGCAGAAUCCUCUCGCUAACAGUCUCAUCUCUAACCGCAUGGAAGUUAGAUCUAUCGACAGCUGCGCGUGACUUGGUUUUCCCACCUUAAAGCUUUCCAAUGAUCUGAACAGUCGUCAUUUUACAUGACGACUGAAAGUUCUACCGCUGCAAAAAUACUUUUCAGAGUACAUACCUCCACGAGUCAGGUAACAAUCCCAGAGUGAAAGGGUUACUGUGUCACAUAGUAUAACCCUUCGCUGAAGCCUGCAAUUGAGCUGAGAUAAUUAAUGCGCACCAAAUUUACAAUCUACGUUGUGGAGCCUGGAAUGAUGGGGUUUCCGCGGGUAUCGCUGUAGCAACAUCAGCCUGGUGGAGCUCAACUGCAGCAGCAACUUGAGGCUCAUGUGGAAGGGUUGGAAGAGGGCUUCCAAAGAAGACAUAAUCAAUCUCUAGGGGUUGGAAGGUCGGACUGGGGCGUAGAGAGAGAAAUGGUGGAAGUGCAUUGGAGCUCAUAGUGACGGAGUAACCUUGCAGCUCACGAUGCCUGCAACUCUCGAAGCCAAUGAUCUUGCAGUGCUAACUGCACUCACUUAGUUGAAACUAGUUUGCUGCAUCGACCUGGGUACGUGAACAUCGAGCAAGAUAGCACAAUGAAGAAGAAAGCCUUGCUCAGAUUUAUCAGUUAGCUCAAGUUCUUGUAUUCUUCGUCUUUCUGGAGGGCGUGUAGCCAUCCAACUUUGCGUG
rnacentral:lncRNA from 1 species